GUCUAUGGCCAUACCACACUGAACAUACCAGAUCCGGUCUGAUCUUUGAAACUAAGCAGGGUUAGGCCUGGUUAGUACUUAGAGGAGAAAAAAGUGAGCAAGGGCUUUAGGUA
rnacentral:rRNA from 1 species